rnacentral:rRNA from 1 species
AUUGAACGCUGGCGGCAUGCCUUACACAUGCAAGUCGAACGGCUGCACGGGUGCUUGCACCUGGUGGCGAGUGGCGAACGGGUGAGUAAUACAUCGGAACGUACCUUAUCGUGGGGGAUAACGCAGCGAAAGCUGUGCUAAUACCGCAUACGCCCUGAGGGGGAAAGCGGGGGAUCGCAAGACCUCGCGCGAUUAGAGCGGCCGAUGCCUGAUUAGCUUGUUGGUGGGGUAAAAGCCCACCAAGGCGACGAUCAGUAGCUGGUCUGAGAGGACGAUCAGCCACACUGGGACUGAGACACGGCCCAGACUCCUACGGGAGGCAGCAGUGGGGAAUUUUGGACAAUGGGGGCAACCCUGAUCCAGCAAUGCCGCGUGAGUGAAGAAGGCCUUCGGGUUGUGAAGCUCUUUUGUCAGGGAAGAAACACCGGCUCUAACACAGUCCGGGAAUGACGGUACCUGAAGAAUAAGCACCGGCUAACUACGUGCCAGCCGCCGCGGUAA